rnacentral:tRNA from 1 species
AUUUAUAUAAUAUAAUCCAUUAUAUUUGAUUUCCAAUCAAAAUAUCUAGAAAUAGGAUAAAUA